rnacentral:lncRNA from 1 species
UGGGUGAGGGCGUUGGGCUGCAGAGUCACCCAUGUCAUGGCGUCAUCUCCUGGGAAGUCCCAAUGAUGCUGACAUGGGUGGACUCCAACUCUGCCAGGUGCAAGUCCAGCAAGCGCUCCAGGGGCUUAGGGGCCUUUCCCAGGUCCACGGCGAGACCACUUGGACGAUGUUUGGCUUCCAAAUCUUGGUUGGACUGAUCAGCAUCAAGCUCCAGCGUGCAAAAAAUAGAGAAGAAAGGAAGAAGGAGGAGGAAAGGAACAAGGUUAACCUUGCACGACCACCCUAGCCCUUUCCUCCGGGUGGCAGGUCUGGUCUCCUCUGGUAACAGCCCCAGUGGGCACUCAGGGCCAGCUCCACCCAGGCUCCCUCUGCCUUCAUGUUGGACAGAGGUGGUGGCUACAGCUGUGCGAGGACCUCAGUGGGCAGCAGACUCCCAGUCGAAGCUGGACCUUGUUCUCUGUUGGCACCUGCUGGCCUCUGAGUGUGGUCACCAUUCCUGAGUGGACACCAGCCUUCCGGCCUUCACAGCUGAUUCUCGGACCCCCUUUCUGGACCACCAGACUCCUUUGGGCCUCCCCAUUCCUCCUCAGAAGCUUGUCUUUGGUGCUGGAGAGACUCCCCUCCCACCUGUGGGGGGCCUGGACUAGGCCCUGUCUGUGGUCCCUGUUCUGUGUCUGUAGAAUUCCUCCGGUGCUUGUUUCCUCUGGGCUCCCCGGGAAGUCAGGCACACCUUUCCUCUUUUCUUUUUCCAGACUUGCUUAAACUUUUCUGGACCUCCCUCCUCCCAGGGAUAGAGCACAGGUUGGGAAAAAUAACAUUUCCCUUCUUAGAGAAUCUCCUGUGUAGCUCACUCAGUGGUGCAGGCCCCAACCUUGGGAUUCACCUUGAAUGCUCCCUGACCCCGUCCAUCAGGGGCAUCACUGACCCUGUUCUCUCUACAAGUUCACGUUCCCCCCCCCGCAACUGUCUUUAAGUUUCUUGCAUGCAAGGAACUUUAAAAAUUUACCACUGAAUCCCCAGAAGUGUAUCUGACCCAUUAUAUAUGGGCCGAAAACUUUGUUGAAUUAAUAUGUGAAUAAAUCCAUCUUUGAACU